AUCGAAGAUCCCGGCUUCUUCAUAAGCUCCCACACGAAUUGCUUGAUUCACUGGUUAGACGAUUGGGUCUGUAGCUCAGUUGGUUAGAGCGCACCCCUGAUAAGGUGAGGUCGGCAGUUCGAAUCUGCCCAGACCCACCAAUUGUUGGUGUGCUGCGUGAUCCGAUACGGGCCAUAGCUCAGCUGGGAGAGCGCCUGCUUUGCACGCAGGAGGUCAGGAGUUCGAUCCUCCUUGGCUCACCAUCCAAACAAUCGUCGAAAGCUCAGAAAUGAAUGUUCGUGAAUGAACAUUGAUUUCUGGUCUUUGCACCAGAACUGUUCUUUAAAAAUUCGGGUAUGUGAUAGAAGUAAGACUGAAUGAUCUCUUUCACUGGUGAUCAUUCAAGUCAAGGUAAAAUUUGCGAGUUCAAGCGCGAAUUUUCGGCGAAUGUCGUCUUCACAGUAUAACCAGAUUGCUUGGGGUUAUAUG
rnacentral:tRNA from 1 species